rnacentral:rRNA from 1 species
AUUGAACGCUGGCGGCAGGCCUAACACAUGCAAGUCGAGCGGAUGACGGGAGCUUGCUCCUUGAUUCAGCGGCGGACGGGUGAGUAAUGCCUAGGAAUCUGCCUGGUAGUGGGGGACAACGUUUCGAAAGGAGCGCUAAUACCGCAUACGUCCUACGGGAGAAAGCAGGGGACCUUCGGGCCUUGCGCUAUCAGAUGAGCCUAGGUCGGAUUAGCUAGUUGGUGGGGUAAUGGCUCACCAAGGCGACGAUCCGUAACUGGUCUGAGAGGAUGAUCAGUCACAUUGGAACUGAGACACGGUCCAGACUCCUACGGGAGGCAGCAGUGGGGAAUAUUGGACAAUGGGCGAAAGCCUGAUCCAGCCAUGCCGCGUGUGUGAAGAAGGUCUUCGGAUUGUAAAGCACUUUAAGUUGGGAGGAAGGGCAGUAAGUUAAUACCUUGCUGUUUUGACGUUACCGACAGAAUAAGCACCGGCUAACUCUGUGCCAGCCGCCGCGGUAAUAC